CGAAAGCCUGACGGAGCAACGCCGCGUGAGGGAGGAAGGCUCUUGGGUUGUAAACCUCUUUUCUCAAGGAAGAUAAUGACGGUACUUGAGGAAUCAGCAUCGGCUAACUCCGUGCCAGCAGCCGCGGUAAUACGGAGGAUGCAAGCGUUAUCCGGAAUAAUUGGGCGUAAAGCGUUCGUAGGUGGUGAUGUAAGUCUGCUGUUAAAGCGUGUAGCUUAACUACAUAUAGGCGGCGGAAACUACAUGACUAGAGUGCGUUCGGGGCAGAGGGAAUUCCUGGUGUAGCGGUGAAAUGCGUAGAUAUCAGGAAGAACACCGGUGGCGAAGGCGCUCUGCUAGGCCGUAACUGACACUGAGGGACGAAAGCUAGGGGAGCG
rnacentral:rRNA from 1 species